AAGACAUAGUUUCAGGCAUGAUUUCUAUAGCUCGUUACAAGAGAAGUUUCUCUUAUUGUGUACAGCACUGGAAACCACAAGGAAGAGCCAGAGCAUCCUCUCCUGAGCGUGCAGACAGUUCCAGGUGUUGCUUCUGCAACUGCCUUUCACCACUGAUGAUCCUUCUUUUCCUUUGGAAGAGGGAGAGAGGAUGGAUGUAGUCUGAGUGG
rnacentral:snoRNA from 1 species